rnacentral:rRNA from 1 species
CAGCUUUCAGCAACGGAUCUCUUGGCUCUCGCAUCGAUGAAGAACGCAGCGAAAUGCGAUAAGUAAUGUGAAUUGCAGAAUUCAGUGAAUCAUCGAAUCUUUGAACGCACCUUGCGCCCCUUGGCUAUUCCGAAGGGCAUGCCUGUUUGAGUAUCAUGA